rnacentral:rRNA from 1 species
AGUGAACGCUGGCGGUAGGCCUAACACAUGCAAGUCGAACGGCAGCACAGUAAGAGCUUGCUCUUACGGGUGGCGAGUGGCGGACGGGUGAGGAAUACAUCGGAAUCUACUUUUUCGUGGGGGAUAACGUAGGGAAACUUACGCUAAUACCGCAUACGACCUACGGGUGAAAGCAGGGGAUCUUCGGACCUUGCGCGAUUAAAUGAGCCGAUGUCGGAUUAGCUAGUUGGCGGGGUAAAGGCCCACCAAGGCGACGAUCCGUAGCUGGUCUGAGAGGAUGAUCAGCCACACUGGAACUGAGACACGGCCCAGACUCCUACGGGAGGCAGCAGUGGGGAAUAUUGGACAAUGGGCGCAAGCCUGAUCCAGCCAUACCGCGUGGGUGAAGAAGGCCUUCGGGUUGUAAAGCCCUUUUGUUGGGAAAGAAAAGCAGCAGGUUAAUACCCCGCUGUUCUGACGGUACCCAAAGAAUAAGCACCGGCUAACUUCGUG